CCUACGGGAGGCAGCAGUGAGGAAUAUUGGUCAAUGGGCGUAAGCCUGAACCAGCCAAGUCGCGUGAGGGAUGAAGGUUCUAUGGAUCGUAAACCUCUUUUAUAAGGGAAUAAAGUGUGGGACGUGUCCUGUUUUGUAUGUACCUUAUGAAUAAGGAUCGGCUAACUCCGUGCCAGCAGCCGCGGUAAUACGGAGGAUCCGAGCGUUAUCCGGAUUUAUUGGGUUUAAGGGGUGCGUAGGCGGCCUUUUAAGUAAGCGGUGAAAGUCUGUGGCUCAACCAUAGAAUUGCCGUUGAAACUGGGAGGCUUGAGUAUGUUUGAGGCAGGCGGAAUGCGUGGUGUAGCGGUGAAAUGCUUAGAUAUCACGCAGAACCCCGAUUGCGAAGGCAGCCUGCCAAGCCAUGACUGACGCUGAUGCACGAAAGCGUGGGGAUCAAACAGGAUUAGAUACCCCAGUAGUC
rnacentral:rRNA from 1 species